GACGAACCGUGCUAACGUUGUUCGGAAUCACUGGGCUUAGAGGGCGCGUAGGCGGUCUGCCAAGUCAGGGGUGAAAUCCUUCGGCUUAACCGGAGAAGUGCCUUUGAUACUGGCGGACUUGAGGGAGGUAGGGGCAGAUGGAACUGGUGGUGGAGCGGUGAAAUGUGUAGAUAUCACUAGGAACGCCGGUGGCGAAAGCGAUCUGCUGGACCUCUACUGACGCUGAGGCGCGAAAGCCAGGGGAGCAAACGGG
rnacentral:rRNA from 1 species